rnacentral:lncRNA from 10 species
CGAGCCUCUCUUUGUCACCCAGGCAAGAGGGCAAUGGCGAAAUCUCGGCUCACUGCAACUUCCACCUUCAGGUUCAAGCGAUUCUCCUGCCUCAGCCUCCCAAGUAGCUGAGAUUACAGGUGCCUGCCACCACGCCCAGCUAAUUUUUGUAUUUUUGUAGAGACGAGUUUUCACCAUGUUGGCCAGGCUGGUCUCGAACUCCUGACCUCAGGUGAUCCACCUGUCUCGGCCUCCUAAAGCGCUGGGAUUAUAGGCAUGAGCCACCACACCCAGCCCUGGGAUGCUUAUUUUAUCUGAGGAACACAACCUCAAUCAGGCUGCAUGGAUGUACUGAAACAAAGCACAACAGACCCAUCUUUGCAAAGGUAAGUGGCCACAUGCACAAACUCUCCAAAAAUGAACCUAGCGUAGCAAGAGAUACAAAUAGCAUAGGCAAGCCUGAAGGUCUACAUAGUCACCUCUUAAUGGGAUGCUUAUUUUAUCUGAGUAAGAGGUGACUCAGGCUUGCCUAUGUUAUUUCUGUCCCUUGCUAAGCAAGGUUCAUUUCUGGAUACCCUCUGCAUGCGGCCACUUACCUUUCCUCAGAUGGGUCUAUUGUGCUUUGUUUCAAUCCGUCCAUGCAGCCUGGUUGAGGUUGUGUUCCUACAGGUUGCGAGUCUCAGUUCCCAAACAGGUGCCCUUUGUCUGUAAUCUACUUGGAGACACUGUCCUGCAUUGAUUCUUUCCUGCAUUGUUUCCAUUGCCUCUUUGUGUUGACUCUAAAAGAAACUUGCUGAAAUCAUGUCACCCUUUAAUAUUUUCCGCCUGUGUGCAUUUUCAAGUAUUGACAAUGGUUGCCCAGUGAAUAUACUGUGCUCUGGCAAAGUCAAUAGUUUCUGGAUCUUCAGCGAUCAUCUUUUCUACUAAGCCCUAGAGAUUUCUAGAAACAGAUAUUUGCUUUGAUAUUUCAUGAAACAAAGGCAUAGAUUGAGCAACUUGAGUGCGUUGUUGUUACAGUUGUAGUGGCCAAAGGACUUCUCUACUGAGAAAUGAAAACAAUUCUCCAUUUUCUUCUCAUUUCAACCCAUUAAGACUUAAAAAAAAAAAUAAGGAGGGCUAAUCAUUUAUAGUCUAUGAGAAUGAGGUCCCUGGGAGCUGUACAUCUUGGGAGCACUGUGGCCUUGUACAUGUUUGUUCACUCAAGAAGAAUUUGCAAGUACACAUUUCAUUUGAAAGCAUUUGUAGAUCUCCCUUCCCAUAACUGCAUUGUGUAAAUGCUCCCUUCCUCAAGAAUUUGUUCACUCAGAGUUCACAUUUGAGACAACUGCACUCCAGUGUGGGCGUGCCUUUGUCUUCAGGCCACGCCGAAGAGUGUUUAAAGCAGUCUUGCCGGUCGCUCCUUUCCCAGCCGUGAAUAAAAACUGAAGCCAGGAAUCUAAUAAGGAAUGCUGAUUUCCUCAGUUCCAUUUUGAGGAAUGGGGAAGGCUAUUCUAAAGAAAAAAAAUGGGACUUGUUUUCUCGGCACAUCUGCAAGACUGGCUUUAAGAGCACAAGGAGGGAAAGUAACGAGAGGGCUGGACUACUAUAAAAGUUACAAAUACGUAGUUAGACCAAUAGAUUUAUAUAGUCAGGUUUUUGUCAUGUAAUUUAUUAACUAUUACAGAAACACAACUAAGAAUAUCAAGCAUUUCUCUGGCUCUUGACAAAAAAUCAGUUGACUUAACCCUUUGCUGUCAAAAGAGUUGGCGUUUCCUGUUGUGGGUGCUACUGCCAAACGUUCUGGUACUUAGAGUCAGGAUGCACGACUUCAACCACCGACUUAUCAGUGCAGCUGCCUGUGUAUUGCAAUUGGCCGUUACCUUAAGCACUGAGCCACCAGGGUUUAGUUCAGCCAUUUCAAGAAGUAUAUUUAACGUCGGUAGUUCUGCUUUAUUAAAAUGCCGCAGAGGUACUCUUUUGUCCCUUCCGUUUACAGUUCUCUGAGAGAGUUCUAUUUUUUUGUUUUGUUUUGUGUUUUCUUUCGCAUUUUAUAUCUUGUAUUUAUCCUGAACAUGUUUUGUAUUUCUUUUUUUUUUAAGAAAAGGAAUUCUUUUGUGUAUACAUAGAUACUUGCAUGAUAUACUGUAGUCAACGUUCGGUUCCUCAAAAGGUCUUGCUGCUGUCAGGUGUUAUGCACUCCAUCCAUCAUACUUGCCUCCAUUCUUCUCUUGAAUUUUCUAAGGAACUGGAGUCAUAAGCCCUGGAAAUAAAGAGAUCAGUCUUGGCUAGAGCUUCCUUGACCUCUGUGUAGUUU